CCUACGGGUGGCAGCAGUAGGGAAUCUUUCACAAUGGGCGAAAGCCUGAUGGAGCAACGCCGCGUGCAGGAUGAAGGCCUUCGGGUUGUAAACUGCUUUUAUAAGCGAGAAAUAUGAUGGUAACUUAUGAAUAAGGAUCGGCUAACUACGGUCCAGCAGCCGCGGUCAUACGUAGGAUCCGAGCAUUAUCCGGAGUGACUGGGUGUAAAGAGUUGCGUAGGUGGCAUAAUAAGUAGCUAGUGAAAUCUGGUGGCUUAACCAUUCAGACUAUUAGCUAAACUGUUAAGCUCGGGACCGUAAGGGGUAACGGGAGUUUAUGGGGUAGGAGUGAAAUCGUGAGAUAUUAGAAAGAACACCGAUGGCGAAGGGAGGUUACGGGGACGGUUCUGACACGAAGGCACGAAAGCGUAGGGAGCAAACGGGAUUAGAUACCCGAGUAGU
rnacentral:rRNA from 1 species